AACGAACGCUGGCGGCAUGCCUAACACAUGCAAGUCGAACGAGACCUUCGGGUCUAGUGGCGCACGAGUGCGUAACGCGUGGGAACCUGCCCUUAGGUUCGGAAUAACUCCCCGAAAGGGGUGCUAAUACCGGAUAAUGUCUUCGGACCAAAGAUUUAUCGCCUUUGGAUGGGCCCGCGUUGGAUUAGCUUGUUGGUAGGGUAAAAGCCUACCAAGGCGACGAUCCAUAGCUGGUCUGAGAGGAUGAUCAGCCACACUGGGACUGAGACACGGCCCAGACUCCUACGGGAGGCAGCAGUGGGGAAUAGUGGACAAUGGGCGAAAGCCUGAUCCAGCAAUGCCGCGUGAGUGAUGAAGGCCUUAGGGUUGUAAAGCUCUUUUACCCGGGAUGAUAAUGACAGUACCGGGAGAAUAAGCGCCGGCUAACUCCGUG
rnacentral:rRNA from 1 species